UACAUGGCGAUGAGGAAGAAGAGUAGGCAUCACAGGAGACUCAAGAGAGCUGAUGGCUGGUGCGAAUCAGCGUCAACUGGAUGUUGAAUGGGCUUCCGAGCUCCGAACCGAACCCGCCCGGCGGCAGUAGGCUUCGGCGUGAGCGUCCGCACGUUACAACGGACACCGUAUCACCGUACGGAACAAAGCGAUUUCAACCACGGGCACACAGCCGUGGAUUGAAAUAAGAAGGGUGGCACCGCGGUUCAUCCGUCCCUGUU
rnacentral:ncRNA from 1 species